ACAGCCCGCAUUUUCAUAAGCAUUUAUAUAUGAUUAUAUGGAACAUAUAGUAAAUACGAAUAUACGUGCAUUUCAUGAAUCGAGUAGCAAUUUAUACGUUCUCUAUGUGUUUAUGUGAUUAAGAUACAUUAUAGUAUUUUUAGAAGUAGACAUUAUUAUUAAUUGAGUAGUUGAUUCUAAUUAUGUGAUUUAAUGAAUUAUUUACUUUAGUCCAUGGAUUUUAAUGAUGUGCUUUAAUUGAUGAUUAAUCUAGGAUUGAGAUGAUGUGAAAUUAGUUUUCGUUAUAGUUUAAUUGGUAUGCUAUGGAAUUUAUUUGAAUUAUAUGUUUUAGUGUGUUGUGUGAGGGAAAGUGAAUUACUCCCUAAGUUUAUUAAUUACAAAGGACUCCCCUCUUCUCUCCUAUAUUGCUAAGAAGCCCCAAGGUAUGUUCUCCCAAAUUGCUAAUAAAACCCCAAUGUCUUUUAUAUUGCAAAUAAGGGCCUCAUCUCCCCUAUAAAUAAACCCCUCCUCUUUAUAUUCUCUUCACACCAAAAAUCAGCCAAAAAGGCUCUCUCCUCUUUCCUUCUUCAUCGAUCAAAAGCCCCGAAGAAGAAUUCUCUUCUUCCACUUCAAGAAGCUCCCAUCAAGCCCCUUCCUCUUCUCUCUUCAAUCCCUCUCGAAAAGAGAAGCUCCCUCUUCUUCAAUUCUGCUAGAAAUCUUCAAGAAACAACCCCUUCACAUCCUUCAAACCUCAGCCCCAAAUCCAUCCAAGAACAUCCAAGCCAAACCCGCCGAAAAUCCACUGAGCUUUGGUUUUCUUACACCUUCAUCUUCGAUUUCUUGCUCUUGGGUUCUCCAAGCUAUGUAGGAGGCCGGCGGAGAGGAGUUCAAGGAAUCACGAGCCUUGGUGCCUAGAUCAGUUUACUCGUAUUUUCUACGCAACGUUUUAUCAAAAAAAAACUAAUCAUAUAGUAUAAUUUUAUUUUGUACUCUGAUUUGGGGACCCGGUCUAUUAAACGGGGGUAUCUUAAAUAAAGUUUAUUUCCUUCCGCUGUCUUACGAGUGUUUUCUAAACCCCGGUGA